AUGCAUCUCCUAAGUGUUUUGCUAGUGGUACUCUGGCUUCAACUGAUGGGGGUGAGGAGCCAGCAGAAGGUGCAGCAGAACCCAGAAUUCCUCAGUGUCUCAGAUGGUUCCAUGGCCUCUCUCAACUGCACUUUCAGUGAUAGUACUUCUCAGUCCUUCUGGUGGUACAGACAGAAUCCUGGGAAAGAACCCAAGGCUCUGAUGUCCAUCUUCUCCGAUGGUGAAAAGAAAAAAGGCAGAUUCACAGUUCAGCUCAAUAAAUCCAGCCUGCUUGUUUCCUUGAACAUCAGAGACUCCCAACCCAGUGACUCGGCUAUCUACCUCUGUGCAGUGAGCACACAGUGCUCCCCAGUACACCUGCAGCCUACACCCAAACCUACAGGGCCCCCAGCAAAGGCUGAGCUAGAGUACAGAGAACAAGGUGGAGAAAUUUUGAUUAUUCUCCUUCUAUCCCAUAUGAAAUGGAAGGUACAGUAUUUUCUGCAUUCGUCAGUUGACAGGUGGUACCUAGGCUGCAUCUGCAUCUUGGCUAUAGUGAAUGGUGCUGUCAUGAACACGCAUAUGCAGGUUUCUCUCUUAUAUGAUGACCUCAGUUCUCCUGGAUAA